GGACCGGGGUGGACGCACCGCUGGUGUACCAGUUGUGCCGCCAGGCGCACCGCUGGGUAGCCAAGUGCGGACGGGAUAAGCGCUGAAAGCAUCUAAGCGCGAAGCCCCCCUCAAGAUGAGAUUUCCCACUCGCAGGCUUGCCUGCGAGGUAAGACCCCUCGGAGAAGACGAGGUGGAUCGGUCCGAGGUGUAAGCGCAGCAAUGCGUUCAGCUGACGGAUCCGAAUCGGUCGAGGGCUUCUCCUU
rnacentral:rRNA from 1 species